UCUUUUUAAACAGUUAACUUAAUAAUCCACGAUUUUUUGAGCGGGUAAGCGCAAAAUUUGAUUACCCCCUGUGCUCCCCUUUCCGUUUUGCACAGAACAGGCGCAUUGCUAAAAUGGCAUAGAUGGCUCUGGGGGUGCCGCUCUGAACUCCUAUAAAGCCUGACAGCCGCCAGCUGUUUCUGGAAACACAUUUUUGUGCUGAAAGCAAUCGCCGCUUCGAAACUCGCAGCCUCCUGUGACAACGACAACACUAGGACAGAAUUCCCGAUGUUUUUCUCAAACUUCUUUCCUCUGACAAUGGUGAAGACUCAGGACGCUCAAACGACGACCGAACAACCCACGGAGCAGCCCAAAAAGCUGAAACCGUGCUGUGCUUGCCCGGAAACCAAGAAGCCGAGAGACCAGUGCAUUAUUGAAAAAGGUGAAGAGAACUGCCAAGACCUUAUCGAGGCGCACAAGGAAUGCAUGAGGAAAAUGGGAUUCAACAUUUGAUCGACCUUGUACUGGUUCUCCGUUAAAUUAAAUUAUACACAUCAAGAGGUUGUAUGUACAUAAUAUAUAGGUGUAGACAUUUUUGUAGAUAAAUUUAUCAAUUCACCUUUGCCAAAGUCAUCUGUUCUCAAUGUUAAUUUAAUAACUAUGUGUUAAAAAAAAUACAAAAAUAUAUUUCACUUGAAUUUA